UUAGACAAAGAAAAUAGGAACGUUGGCAAAUAAACAAAGGUUAUGCAAGUUUCCAGGAAAGCAAAGCAAGCAGAUAUAAACAACACUGAGGCCUGAAGUCUGAUGGGAUAGCAGAAAUGCUGAGUGAUUUUGGAGUAAAGUGGAGGAAAGGUCCUUACUACCAUGGACGAAAGGAGGAGCUGGAGGGCUUUUCCCAAAGGUCAUUUCUGACACCAGAAAUCACUCAAAUCAUGGGAUAUUUACACUCGCAUUGAACCCUACACUACCACGUUGAAUUUCCAGGACCUGCUAUGUAGUGGACUCAUUCACAUACUCUCAUUUGCUCGUUGGACCUUGGAACACAGAAGCUAAGCAUUAUGAGAUCUAAUGCAGUUAUAGGUAAUAAAAAGAAAUGACGACUUUA